CUCUAAACCACAAUCGUUUCAUCCGCCGCUCCACCUUUCUUUACAAACCCUAGAUCCUCCAUCGCUCCUCCACCUUUCAUCCAUGGAACCGGUCGUCGCCAUCACCGUCUUCUCCCCUUUCAUCCAUGGAACCGGUACCGUUUUUUACCCUAUCUUUUGAAGACGAAGACCGAUGAACAGGUGAAAGAGAUAACACUGCGGCUUGGUUCAAGAACCUUCAAAUUCAGCCUUAGUGAAAUGUGAAUACAGUUGAAGAUGAAGACCGUGGGGUCUUCAUUCUUUUGUGAGCAUCAUGUUGGCUGUUUGCUGGAUGCACUCGCGAAUCGUGGUCUGUCGAAUACAUUGGCUACUCGGAUAUUGGUUGAAGCAGGGGCUGGUGGUCAGAGUUUUGGAAUUCAUGUUGCAGAGUUUGCAAACUUUCCUAAAAGUGUUGUUUUUCUUGCUAGAGAAAAAGCUGUUGAGUUGGAGGGUUUCUCACAUCUUUUAGCUAUAUCAAAUUGGUCUGAACAAGUGGUAUUUUUCUAAUCAGCUAAUCAACCCAUUCCUAAUGGAAGCUUGCAACUGGGGAAUUAAAUCAUCUUUUCAUUCGAUAUUGUUUUUUACAUAAAUGGAAGCACUUAUAUUUGUAAGAGAAGAGGCCUCCUAUGAUGAUGUUGCAGCUCAAAAUGAAGUUGAUUCAAACGCCAAGCCUGAAUCAGAUGACAGUUAGUUUAGAGUGAAUCUGUGAGAUAUGUGGCUAAAAAGCUAUAAUUCGAAUCGGCGUGUGUGAGUGUUCGGUGUUGUAUCUUCGACACAAGGUGGGGUGGGGCAUCAUGGGGUGUAUUUGAAUCAGCAUGUGUGAGUGCUCGGUGUUAUAUUGUGACCGAAGACAGGGUAAGGGCAUCAUGGGGUGUCUUAUGGAAGGAAGCACGGUGUUUGCCUUUGAAGAAUAUUUUAUUAAAUAUGCCACACCGGAAGAGGCUAAUAAGGUGUACACGCCUUAAAGCAGGCCGAGGUUCAGGCACAAGCAUAUGCCCAAGCUGGUCUCUCUUCAACAACACCAUCAGUUCUCACUAUGGGCUCAAAGGUUGUCUAAGUAGGCGAUUUUCAGCAUAUCAAAUGAUGCAGCUAGGCUUCAAUCAGCUGGUAGAUCAGCAUCAAAUGAUGCAGCUGGGCUUCAAUCAGCUACAGCAUGGGAAGCCGUUGAGCCGAGCCGAGAGAGGCGAGCUUGUUAAACGACAUGUUUCGAGUAACCGGCAGGUUAAUCUUGGUAAGAUAUAACUAUUAACUGUUUAAGUGAAGCAGUUAUGGUUAAUGUUAGUUGAAAUGACAGGAGAAACCUUGUGGUAAGAUUAUUCUUAGGACUGGUGGUGUGCUGUAUCUUUUUCGGGAUAGACAUUAUGAUCCGCACAACAGGCCGAAAUACCCUGUGAUGCUGUGGAAGCCUGCGUCUUUCUUGGUCAAAAGACCUAAUAUGGUGUGCCUUAGUAUUAAAAGACCUAGGUGAUUAGCUUGGUUGAACAAGUUAAAAUGGUUUGGUUUUGAGUGGUUUUUUUUUCUUGAAGUCGUUCGUAUUAAAAUUUUAAAAUGAUGAAGGCAGUUUGUUAAUAUAUUACAUAUAAGUAAAUGUAUAGUUAAACAACUGGUUUCAAGCUUUAUACCGUCAAAACUGAACUUGGACCAAACCAUUAAAUGAUCAAAACUGACUGAAGUAGAGGUGAACAAUACCGGGUUUUUUAGGCGUUCAGGUAUGAACCCGGGUACAGGUAAGACCAGGUAUGUUUUUUUUCGUGUAUUGGCAAUAACUGGGUUGUGUUCGGGAGACGACUAAUAAACUAACGGGUAAACAUGUAUCCUAAAAUUGCAGCUGGCUAGAUACUUAUUAGUGUGAAGUUUUUUCAUAAUAUAAACUUGCAAGCUACAAGUGGAACUUUAAUGGCUAAUCUUUCAACAGCCUGGGAUGCAAAUUUGUUCACCAGAUCUUGGUACAAACAUCACUAUUUAGCCUUUCUCAGCAUUAUUUGGUACAGCCUUCUGUUUUCUGUUCGCCUUUAAACCCACUUUGAGGAUUCAAAUCGGCUGAUUAUGAUCGCUCUCGCACCUGAUCCGUCGCGUUUAUUGUUGUUUCGAAUAAGAGUUGUUUUAACAGCUGUAAUACAUGGUCAAGCAUUGGAACUCUACAACUUUUCCCAUGCUUUUUGAUAUUGAACCUGACAUCUCCUACAACACAAUACAACACAAGUGAUGAGUCAAAAAAUGGCUAUUUCAAAAAGUUGGAGAAUGCUAAAGAGAGGUUGCAUCUUUUCAAGGCAUACAAGAUACAGGUUAUUGGUGGGCUGCCUCCAAUUAAAAGUUAUAAAAAAACAUUAUCAUGAGAGAUCCUUAGAAACAAAUCAACAAAUCGUUGUAAUUAUUGUUACAAAUUUAUAACGUUUAUUUUUUUAUCGAGUAAUGUUUAUCGUUGUAAUUUUGUUAACAAAUUUAUGAUGUUCAGCAUAUUGCACUUCG